rnacentral:rRNA from 1 species
GAGUCCGAUUUAGCCAUGCUAGUUGUGCGGGUUUAGACCCGCAGCGGAAAGCUCAUAACACGUGGCCAAGCUACCCUGUGGACGGGAAUACUCUCGGGAAACUGAGGCUAAUCCCCGAUAACGCUUUGCUCCUGGAAGGGGCAAAGCCGGAAACGCUCCGGCGCCACAGGAUGCGGCUGCGGUCGAUUAGGUAGACGGUGGGGUAACGGCCCACCGUGCCCAUAAUGCGGUACGGGUUGUGAGAGCAAGAGCCCGGAGACGGAAUCUGAGACAAGAUUCCGGGCCCUACGGGGCGCAGCAGGCGCGAAACCUUUACACUGUCACGAAAGUGCGAUAAGGGGACUCCGAGUGUGAAGGCAUAGAGCCUUCACUUUUGUACACCGUAAGGUGGUGUACGAAUAAGGACUGGGCAAGACCGGUGCCAGCCGCCGCGGUAAUACCGGCAGUCCGAGUGAUGGCCGAUAUUAUUGGGCCUAAAGCGUCCGUAGCUGGCUGAACAUAGUCCGUUGGGAAAUCUGUCCGCUUAACGGGCAGGCGUCCAGCGGAAACUGUUCAGCUUGGGACCGGAAGACCUGAGGGGUACGUCUGGGGUAGGAGUGAAAUCCUGUAAUCCUGGACGGACAGCCGGUGGCGAAAGCGCCUCAGGAGAACGGAUCCGACAGUGAGGGACGAAGCUAGGGUCUCGAACCGGAUUAGAUACCCGGGUAGUCCUAGCUGUAAACGAUGUCCGCUUAAGGUGUGGCGCAGGCUACGAGCCUGCGCGUGCCGUAGGGAAGCCGAGCAGCGGACCGCCUGGGAGUACGUCUGCA